rnacentral:rRNA from 1 species
UACAGUCAUACCACCCUGAACACGCCCGACACCCAAUCUCGUAAACUAAACAGGGUCAGGCCUGGUUAGUACUUGGAUGGGAGAAACUACAAGCAACCUAAGUGA